CCUACGGGUGGCAGCAGUGAGGAAUAUUGGUCAAUGGACGCAAGUCUGAACCAGCCAAGUAGCGUGCAGGAUGACGGCCCUCCGGGUUGUAAACUGCUUUUAGUUGGGAAUAAAAGGGGGCUCGUGAGCCCCGUAUUGUAUGUACCAUAUGAAUAAGGAUCGGCUAACUCCGUGCCAGCAGCCGCGGUAAUACGGAGGAUCCGAGCGUUAUCCGGAUUUAUUGGGUUUAAAGGGAGCGUAGGUGGAUUGUUAAGUCAGUUGUGAAAGGUUGCGGCUCAACCGUAAAAUUGCAGUUGAUACUGGCAGUCUAGAGUACAGUAGAGGUGGGCGGAAUGCGUGGUGUAGCGGUGAAAUGCUUAGAUAUCACGAAGAACUCCGAUUGCGAAGGCAGCUCACUGGACUGCAACUGACACUGAUGCUCGAAAGUGUGGGUAGCAAACAGGAUUAGAUACCCGUGUAGUC
rnacentral:rRNA from 1 species